rnacentral:rRNA from 1 species
GGGUUGUGAGGUUAAGCGACUAAGCGUACACGGUGGAUGCCCUGGCAGUCAGAGGCGAUGAAGGACGUGCUAAUCUGCGAAAAGCGUCGGUAAGGUGAUAUGAACCGUUACAGCCGGCGAUGUCCGAAUGGGGAAACCCAGUGUGAUUCGUCACACUAUCGUUAACUGAAUACAUAGGUUAACGAGGCGAACCGGGGGAACUGAAACAUCUAAGUACCCCGAGGAAAAGAAAUCAACCGAGAUUCCCCCAGUAGCGGCGAGCGAACGGGGAGCAGCCCAGAGUCUGAAUCAGCUUGUGUGUUAGUGGAACGGUCUGGAAAGUCCGACGGUACAGGGUGAUAGUCCCGUACACCAAAAUGCACAGGCUGUGAACUCGAAGAGUAGGGCGGGACACGUGGUAUCCUGUCUGAAUAUGGGGGGACCAUCCUCCAAGGCUAAAUACUCCUGACUGACCGAUAGUGAACCAGUACCGUGAGGGAAAGGCGAAAAGAACCCCGGCGAGGGGAGUGAAAAAGAACCUGAAACCGUGUACGUACAAGCAGUGGGAGCACCUUCGGGUGUGACUGCGUACCUUUUGUAUAAUGGGUCAGCGACUUAUAUUCUGUAGCAAGGUUAACCGUAUAGGGGAGCCGCAGGGAAACCGAGUCUUAACUGGGCGUUAAGUUGCAGGGUAUAGACCCGAAACCCGGUGAUCUAGCCAUGGGCAGGUUGAAGGUUGGGUAACACUAACUGGAGGACCGAACCGACUAAUGUUGAAAAAUUAGCGGAUGACUUGUGGCUGGGGGUGAAAGGCCAAUCAAACCGGGAGAUAGCUGGUUCUCCCCGAAAGCUAUUUAGGUAGCGCCUCGUGAACUCAUCUUCGGGGGUAGAGCACUGUUUCGGCUAGGGGGUCAUCCCGACUUACCAACCCGAUGCAAACUACGAAUACCGAAGAAUGUUAUCACGGGAGACACACGGCGGGUGCUAACGUCCGUCGUGAAGAGGGAAACAACCCAGACCGCCAGCUAAGGUCCCAAAGUCAUGGUUAAGUGGGAAACGAUGUGGGAAGGCACAGACAGCCAGGAUGUUGGCUUAGAAGCAGCCAUCAUUUAAAGAAAGCGUAAUAGCUCACUGGUCGAGUCGGCCUGCGCGGAAGAUGUAACGGGGCUAAACCAUGCACCGAAGCUGCGGCAGCGACACUAUGUGUUGUUGGGUAGGGGAGCGUUCUGUAAGCCUGCGAAGGUGUGCUGUGAGGCAUGCUGGAGGUAUCAGAAGUGCGAAUGCUGACAUAAGUAACGAUAAAGCGGGUGAAAAGCCCGCUCGCCGGAAGACCAAGGGUUCCUGUCCAACGUUAAUCGGGGCAGGGUGAGUCGACCCCUAAGGCGAGGCCGAAAGGCGUAGUCGAUGGGAAACAGGUUAAUAUUCCUGUACUUGGUGUUACUGCGAAGGGGGGACGGAGAAGGCUAUGUUAGCCGGGCGACGGUUGUCCCGGUUUAAGCAUGUAGGCUGAUUGUCCAGGCAAAUCCGGAUAAUCAAGGCUGAGGUGUGAUGACGAGGCACUACGGUGCUGAAGUAACAAAUGCCCUGCUUCCAGGAAAAGCCUCUAAGCAUCAGGUAACAUUAAAUCGUACCCCAAACCGACACAGGUGGUCAGGUAGAGAAUACCAAGGCGCUUGAGAGAACUCGGGUGAAGGAACUAGGCAAAAUGGUGCCGUAACUUCGGGAGAAGGCACGCUGGUGUGUAGGUGAAGUCCCUGCGGAUGGAGCUGAGACCAGUCGAAGAUACCAGCUGGCUGCAACUGUUUAUUAAAAACACAGCACUGUGCAAACACGAAAGUGGACGUAUACGGUGUGACGCCUGCCCGGUGCCGGAAGGUUAAUUGAUGGGGUUAUCCGUAAGGAGAAGCUCUUGAUCGAAGCCCCGGUAAACGGCGGCCGUAACUAUAACGGUCCUAAGGUAGCGAAAUUCCUUGUCGGGUAAGUUCCGACCUGCACGAAUGGCGUAAUGAUGGCCAGGCUGUCUCCACCCGAGACUCAGUGAAAUUGAACUCGCUGUGAAGAUGCAGUGUACCCGCGGCAAGACGGAAAGACCCCGUGAACCUUUACUAUAGCUUGACACUGAACAUUGAGCCUUGAUGUGUAGGAUAGGUGGGAGGCUUUGAAGCGUGGACGCCAGUCUGCGUGGAGCCAACCUUGAAAUACCACCCUUUAAUGUUUGAUGUUCUAACGUUGGCCCCUGACCGGGGUUGCGGACAGUGUCUGGUGGGUAGUUUGACUGGGGCGGUCUCCUCCCAAAGUGUAACGGAGGAGCACGAAGGUUAGCUAAUCCUGGUCGGACAUCAGGAGGUUAGUGCAAUGGCAUAAGCUAGCUUGACUGCGAGCGUGACGGCGCGAGCAGGUGCGAAAGCAGGUCAUAGUGAUCCGGUGGUUCUGAAUGGAAGGGCCAUCGCUCAACGGAUAAAAGGUACUCCGGGGAUAACAGGCUGAUACCGCCCAAGAGUUCAUAUCGACGGCGGUGUUUGGCACCUCGAUGUCGGCUCAUCACAUCCUGGGGCUGAAGUAGGUCCCAAGGGUAUGGCUGUUCGCCAUUUAAAGUGGUACGCGAGCUGGGUUUAGAACGUCGUGAGACAGUUCGGUCCCUAUCUGCCGUGGGCGCUGGAGAAUUGAGGGGGGCUGCUCCUAGUACGAGAGGACCGGAGUGGACGCAUCACUGGUGUUCGGGUUGUCAUGCCAAUGGCACUGCCCGGUAGCUAAAUGCGGAAGAGAUAAGUGCUGAAAGCAUCUAAGCACGAAACUUGCCCCGAGAUGAGUUCUCCCUGAGACUUUAAGUCUCCUGAAGGAACGUUGAAGACGACGACGUUGAUAGGCCGGGUGUGUAAGCGCAGCGAUGCGUUGAGCUAACCGGUACUAAUGAACCGUGAGGCUUAACCUUACAACGCCGAAG